AAGUUUCCAUUUUCGGAAACUUACCGAGCCUCUCCCUUCUCUCUCCCCGAUUCUCUCUUCCUCUCCGACCUCUUCACCUUCUUCCGGCCUUAUCUCCUCCAUCCGGCGACGGAUUUUGACGUGUAAGAUGUCGUUGGAAAGCUCUCUUCCUUCUCUUCAUUUCUGGGUUCGUUUCGUAGCUUAAUAUGAACUGUGGAAGGUGCAGCAACGAGAAGAAGAGGACGGUCACUGUAGCAGUUUUGAGUCAACGCCGAUAUUUUCCGAUUCCGGCAGUCUCCGGCCACCAAAUUGGCGUCGAAGGGUUCUUGGAAUUUCUGGAAAAUUUUCACCGGCCAAAUUGGAGCUCUUCCAGGGCAAUGCCGCGAGCUACGGUUAAAUGAAGGAACUCGUUUGCGUGGUCGCCCAAUAGUACUUUUGCAGGUGAAAUUAGUUGAGGUCGGGCGUACAUAGAGUCGAGGCAUAGCCAACAGCAUUGCUUCCGCGUACUCAUUCUAUUUCUGUUUUCUUUGUUACCUAGUGGAUUAGUAUUGCUCUGAUAACCUAUGGGAUUAAUAUUGUUUUUGGGUUGAGACUGAUAUUUGUGAAAUUGGAGUUGUGAUUUGGGGAGCAGAUGGCUCCAGAAGAUUAAGGAUGGAUGAUUUAGAAGUGUAAA